CAUCAAUAAACCAUAAUGAGACCUGUUAAGGACUGCAGUGUGAUACACAGCCUGUAAAGUGUCAAAUGCUGCUGGGCUGCUAAAGAUGAAGAAAUUCAGACUUGUAGACCAGAAACGUUUCUUCUUUGUGAAGAGUCCUCCCAAGGUUAAUUACAUAGAAUUUGAAAGAAGAAUUCCGUUUCCAAUUCAUCAUGAAGAUAGAUGAGAUCUUGGAGGAACCUACAAUUCCAAGAUUGGAGCAUCAGGAAGCAAUUUGUCAUAACUGAAGAAACAAGGGCUAUGGAAACAAAUCUGGGCUCUAGUCACUCUUCCACAAUUGAUUUUCAUGAGACUUGGAACAAGACUAUUCUAAGACUUAGCUUAUCGAAGGACCCAUUAAAGAAAAGUUCUGUAAAACUGAACUUUUUCUGAAAAGAGGUGGUUUCAGAUAUUGGGAAAUGAUGUUCAGUUGCUACAUUAAAGAAAAAUAGUUACCUGUGAAAAUUUCUUCGUCCCCAUCAAUCCGCUACUGAGAAGUUUCUCAGGGGAAUACACGUCUGUAUUAGCAAGAAAAACGGAAAUGACUUCUUUAA
rnacentral:lncRNA from 1 species